rnacentral:rRNA from 1 species
CCAAUAGCGUAUAUUAAAGUUGUUGCAGUUAAAAAGCUCGUAGUUGAAUUUCGGGAUCAAUAUGUCGGUCGUGCCUCGGUACGUACUGGCAUUGUUGGUUUCUCCCCUCUGAAGAACCAUGAUGUCAUUCAUUUGGUGUCGUGGGGAAUUAGGACUGUUACUUUGAAAAAAUUAGAGUGUUUAAAGCAGGCUUACGCUUGAAUACAUUAGCAUGGAAUAAUGAAAUAGGACGUUUGAUUCUAUUUUGUUGGUUUCUAGGAUCGACGUAAUGAUUAAUAGGGAUAGUUGGGGGCAUUAGUAUUCAAUUGUCAGAGGUGAAAUUCUUGGAUUUAUUGAAGACUAACUACUGCGAAAGCAUUUGCCAAGGAUGUUUUCAUUAAUCAAGAACGAAAGUUAGGGGAUCGAAGACGAUCAGAUACCGUCGUAGUCUUAACCAUAAACUAUGCCGACUAGGGAUCGGAUGAUGUUAAUUUUUUAAUGACUCAUUCGGCGCCUUACG